UUCAUAUUUGCUGGUGUGUUUUGCCCUUCAGGGCUUCCAGAGAACUCGAAAAGAGACUUAAAAUAAACAGGGGAUCAACAAAAGGGGCGUGGAACAAUGAAGGGUACAGGCUGAAAAGGGGGAUCAACACCAAUGAGUGGACAUGGGGAACACCGGACUGUAAGCACGAGUAUACGAGACUAACGAGGGAACUAAUGAGAGGCAGCUGGAAGUGACUAACACAAGGGUUAAGAAUGAGAGAAAAAGACCCGCAACGGUAGGAAGUCAUGGCCACACAUCUGAAUGACAAUGCUUACUGAGCCACUACCAGCACCUACAUUGUCCCAACCACAUGUAAAGGAGAUGACACAGUGAACAGGACGUUCACUAUGAAUAUGUGACCUCUGACAAAUCGCCGACCUGGGAGCUGAAGGCCUGGAAUUGAGGCCGUCCCCUCAGACCUGGGUAAUUCUGACCAUGGAGGAAGUUGAUCAGACUCUCUGGUGAUUCCCUUGAUGGAAUUAAGGGAAUUUUAUCUCAGAGAAAAAAGAAAUUCCCGAUUGGGAUCAAUGGAAUACAAUUAUCUAUUAUUAUGUCUUUAUUACAUAUAGACAUUUUUUCCUUUUUCGUUUCCAGUGUUCCAUGUUUAGCACGUUCCCUACGUUCUCCUGUCAGGGCGGCACACGCCUUGCUGUCAGUUCGCGUAACACUCACCAUGCAUUACAUAUUUUAAAUUUCAAUAUAUUCAAAAACUGCAUUCUGUAUUUUGCCCUCUGAAUGAAUGUCAUUAAGCUGAAGUAAUUUAAAUUUCAAACAAACAUGAUUGAAUA